UUGCACGCUGGCGGCAGGCCUAACACCUGCCAGUCGAGCGGAUGAAGGGAGCUUGCUCCUGGCUUCAGCGGCGGACGGGUGAGUAAUGCCUAGGAAUCUGCCUGGUAGUGGGGGAUAACGUCCGGAAACGGGCGCUAAUACCGCAUACGUCCUGAGGGAGAAAGUGGGGGAUCUUCGGACCUCACGCUAUCAGAUGAGCCUAGGUCGGAUUAGCUAGUUGGUGGGGUAAAGGCCUACCAAGGCGACGAUCCGUAACUGGUCUGAGAGGAUGAUCAGUCACACUGGAACUGAGACACGGUCCAGACUCCUACGGGAGGCAGCAGUGGGGAAUAUUGGACAAUGGGCGAAAGCCUGAUCCAGCCAUGCCGCGUGUGUGAAGAAGGUCUUCGGAUUGUAAAGCACUUUAAGUUGGGAGGAAGGGCAGUAAGUUAAUACCUUGCUGUUUUGACGUUACCAACAGAAUAAGCACCGGCUAACUUCGUG
rnacentral:rRNA from 1 species